AGGUCAAGGGAUGGGAAUCGAACCCACGACCUUCCGCUUACCGGGCAGAUGCCAUGACCACUGAGAUAAGAGGAUGCC